AUGAAGGAGGUGGCGGCGGCGGGAGCGGGGGUGUCCCCGUGCGCGGCGUGCAAGCUGCUGCGGCGGCGGUGCUCGCCGGGGUGCGUGUUCGCGCCCUACUUCCCCUCCGGCGAGCCGCACCGCUUCGCCAGCGUGCACAAGGUCUUCGGCGCCAGCAACAUCAGCAAGCUCCUCCAGGAGAUUCCGGCAGAGCACCGGGGCGACACGGUGAGCAGCCUGGUGUACGAGGCGAACGCGCGCGUGCGCGACCCCAUCUACGGCUGCGUCGGCGCCAUCACGUCGCUGCAGCGGCAGGUGGAGUCGCUGCAGACCCAGCUCGCGCUGGCGCAGGCCGAGAUGGUCAGGCUCAGGAUGGCCAACGCCUACGGGGCGGCGCGCCACAACGGCGGUGGAAGCACCGCCAGCGGCUCGCCGUCCUCCAUGUCGUCGCCGACCAAGACAGCGGACCAUCACGACAUGGCCGUGGACCAGUCCGGCGUGAUGGAGCUGGAGCUGGAGUGCUCCAGGUUCUGGGCCUACUGA
rnacentral:rRNA from 1 species